GACGAACGCUGGCGGCGUGCCUAAUACAUGCAAGUUGAGCGCUGAAGGUUGGUACUUGUCCCAACUGGCUGAGCAGCGAACGGGUGAGUAACGCGUGGGGAAUCUGCCUUUGAGCGGGGGACAACAUUUGGAAACGAAUGCUAAUACCGCAUAAAAACUUUAAACACAAGUUUUAAGUUUGAAAGAUGCAAUUGCAUCACUCAAAGAUGAUCCCGCGUUGUAUUAGCUAGUUGGUGAGGUAAAGGCUCACCAAGGCGAUGAUACAUAGCCGACCUGAGAGGGUGAUAGGCCACAUUGGGACUGAGACACGGCCCAAACUCCUACGGGAGGCAGCAGUAGGGAAUCUUCGGCAAUGGACGAAAGUCUGACCGAGCAACGCCGCGUGGGUGAAGAAGGUUUUCGGAUCGUAAAACUCUGUUGGUAGAGAAGAACGUUGGUGAGAGUGGAAAGCUCAUCAAGUGACGGUAACUACCCAGAAAGGGACGGCUAACUACGUG
rnacentral:rRNA from 1 species